UGGGUGUUUGUUCUGAAUGAUUUGUGGGGGUUGCCCCUAAUUCCAGAGAAGAUGGUUACACAGCCUCCCUUUGUAAUACAUUCCCAUUGGACCAGACAAUCUCUUUGCUGCUGAAGAGUACAUAUUCUGGUUACUGUCUUGCCUCAACACCUGCUGUGGGAAAAAAGGCUUCUUGGUGCUGAUUGACCAUGAACAUAAUGGAAACAUUACUAGCAGGCCUCCCUCCAGACUAGAGAGCAUACUCAACGGUGAAUGAAAGCCUCAUUCUAACAAACUGGUCCAGACCCCCCACUGGGAUGUGAGAGCCCACAGCCGAAGAUGGACCCAGCUACAUUCAAGAGCUCUUUUUUAAAGAGCCGUCAAGCUGGAGGGUUUAAUUUAAGGGGCUGCACAUUCUCUUCGGAACAAGAAGAAUCCAAGUAAAGAGGGAAAGUAGUCAGUCCGAAAAACUGGUGGUUUCUAAGGACCUUCAUCAACCUUACAUUCUUCCCCUUUGUUAGGGAAGGUGGCAGCCCAGUAAAUGAAGCAAAUCCCAGUCUUUAACGCAAGAAUCUGAGCCAGGUAGAAGUAGCUUGGGCCUAUAGCAAUCGGUAAAUCAAUAAGCAUCUGUUGAACAGCUACUAUUUGCCUAGCAUUGUGUUAGCUGCUAUAGAGUACAAAAGUCAUACACACCCAUUGACUUUAGGGCCCUUUUGAUCUGGUUGAGGAGUGAAUAUUCAUAUAAUUAAAAAAAUUUUUUUUUAAAUUUAUAUUCAUAGAAUUUCAAGCUGGAAGGGACCACAGAGAAAUUUGAUGACUUGCCCAAGGUGACAUGGGUAGAAAUGGGCAGUCCUUAGAUUUGAGCUUGGGUCCUCUGAUUUCAAAGGUCAAGUUCUUUCUUCACACAUGGAACAGGGAGGGAAUAAGACAACAAAAGCGUGAAUCUAGAAAUCAUCGAAGGCUGGACUCAACAGGACAGAUGUUAUCUUAGAGGAGGUAGGCUGAAUUGGUUUCAGAAAACAGGCAAGUGAUAAAAAGACAUGACUAUAUAGGCUGAUAUGUCUGCCUCUCCCUAGCAGCUUCUGUCCCAAUUUCUCCAAGCAUCUUUGGUGGCACCAAGGAAAACAUCAGGAUAAGCAGGACCAUGUAUUGAAAGCCUGGGUUUAAAUUAUGACUUCUGCAUGUAUUAGCUUUAUGAG